AGAAAGAAUGCUGGAACUGCUAAUUCCACACCUCCAUAAUUAACAUUGUGGCUUUCUU
rnacentral:tRNA from 1 species